rnacentral:rRNA from 1 species
GAUGAAGCCCUUCGGGGUGGAUUAGUGGCGAACGGGUGAGUAACACGUGGGCAAUCUGCCCUUCACUCUGGGACAAGCCCUGGAAACGGGGUCUAAUACCGGAUAACACCGGCCUUCGCAUGGAGGCUGGUUGAAAGCUCCGGCGGUGAAGGAUGAGCCCGCGGCCUAUCAGCUUGUUGGUGGGGUAAUGGCCCACCAAGGCGACGACGGGUAGCCGGCCUGAGAGGGCGACCGGCCACACUGGGACUGAGACACGGCCCAGACUCCUACGGGAGGCAGCAGUGGGGAAUAUUGCACAAUGGGCGAAAGCCUGAUGCAGCGACGCCGCGUGAGGGAUGACGGCCUUCGGGUUGUAAACCUCUUUCAGCAGGGAAGAAGCGAAAGUGACGGUACCUGCAGAAGAAGCGCCGGCUAACUACGUGCCAGCAGCCGCGGUAAUACGUAGGGCGCAAGCGUUGUCCGGAAUUAUUGGGCGUAAAGAGCUCGUAGGCGGCUUGUCACGUCGGGUGUGAAAGCCCGGGGCUUAACCCCGGGUCUGCAUCCGAUACGGGCAGGCUAGAGUGUGGUAGGGGAGAUCGGAAUUCCUGGUGUAGCGGUGAAAUGC